rnacentral:tRNA from 1 species
GAUCGAGUAGCUCAGCGGGCAGAGCGCCGGCGUCACGAGCCGGAGGUCGUGGGAUCGUCUCCCACCUCGAUCA